rnacentral:rRNA from 1 species
UACGUAGGUCCCGAGCGUUAUCCGGAUUUAUUGGGCGUAAAGCGAGCGCAGGCGGUUAGGUAAGUCUGAAGUUAAAGGCUGUGGCUUAACCAUAGUACGCUUUUGAAACUGUUUAACUUGAGUGCAGAAGGGGAGAGUGGAAUUCCAUGUGUAGCGGUGAAAUUCGUAGAUAUAUGGAGGAACACCGGUGGCGAAAGCGGCUCUCUGGUCUGUAACUGGCGCUGAGGCUCUAAAGCGUGGGGAGCAAACAGG